UCUGCUUUUCUCUUUCAAUAUUUAAAUAAAAGAAUAAUAUCAUAAAGUGCUUCUCAAUCUGUAAAGGGAAAAGAAACUUUUGUAUUAAAAAGAAUACAGAUGUGUUCUAAUUGCAAAGAGCUGUGUGCCAAUCUCUGGUGGAUUUUGCCGCACAAAUUGCAGCCACGGAUCCUGUUGCCCACACACAAUCUCAUCAGCAAAGUCCUCUCGCGUUGUGUUCCUGCUCACCCGAGAUCUCUGGUAUUGACGACACACGUUUUGACUGUAGGGUACACAAUGCGUUCACUUUUUUCGUAGGGCUGAUGGGCGAACAUGAUGGUACAAUGCCUGUCAAGUAUUUAGCUUGAUGACGGGUAGAGUAGACAAGGACCAGAGGUAGGCAGCUCUACCAAGACGCUUUGCUGAGCAUGCGCUGUGAUUGCAAGCUCUACCCAUCCGCUAGGCUCUGGCUCUGUCCGCCCUUUGGACCACUCAGAUCUCUAAGAGCCACUGAUUCGUUUAAAUCCCAAAAAGUGACUUAGAAGAAUGACUAAGUUCCAGGAUGGGUUUGUGUAAGGUGCUGGGGUUCCUGUGAAGUAGAAUCCUAAGAGAAUCAUCCCUGCCUCACAAGCAACCGUUUGAAGAGCUGAUGCUCCCGUGUGAUAGAAUCCUGGACAGAAACGGCCAGGGACGCGUCCGUUAUCCCCUCAAGCACAGCGGCUCCACGCAGGAGGAAUGGAAGGCAGACUGUCUUAGCAGAUGAAAGGAAGCAUUAAAUAUCGGCUAUGCCCCAAGCGGAGGAACGUACCUCUGCCCUCCCGGUGGAGCUGCGCUUGCAGCACGGGGACGCCUCCUUCCCGUGCUUUAUCACUCUCUCACGCUCAGCGCUGUGACAGGCAGCAUUCCCUUGGUCAGUGGUUCUCAGUCCUUUCUAAGUGAACCACUUAGGGAGCUUUUAGAACUACCACUGGCUGAGAUGCACACACUUGUAAUCCCAGCACUCUGGAAGGCUGAGGCAGAAGGACUUGGAGUUUGAGCACAGUUUAGAGCUGCAACUACCGUUCAUACUAAGGACCUCCCAGCCCAUGACUAUUUGGCAUCUGUCUCUCCCUGCUGGACCACGGUGCUCUAGAGUGAGAACUUUGUUGCUUGAUCAUUUUACCCCAACACCAAACACAAUGUCUGACGUGCAGAAGAUGUUCAUUAAA